rnacentral:lncRNA from 1 species
AGAUUGUUCCCUCUCUGAACAUGAAUGGCGCUCUAUCUAUUCCUUCAACCCUAUGUUGACUGCUGUCAAGAUUGAUGCAGGAAUGAAAUUAAGAAAAGACCUUUCUCCCGUGUGCCAUGUGCCUUGAAGCUCCAGAGUCUAUGAUCCAGUCCAUGCUAUUUGCGUGAUGGAAAAUAGUAGGAACUGGACGUCGGAAGAAUCCGCAAAUGAAUAUUCUUUAUUUCCUCUCGGACAGGCCCUCUUUUCUCAUUCGAAUGGACAUCUCUUUCGGUAAUGAUCAUCUACAACUGAAAGACUGACGUCUUCCUCUACUCGAUCCUUAGUUAGACUAUCUCCCUCCACCUCGAUUCUUCUGAUCCUCAUAGCCGAACUCCUUUUUUAUUCGCGUCCUCCCCCUGGAUCUAUUCCUGCCGCGUCCACGUCCUCUGCCUCCAGCAACUAGAGCUGCAUCAUCUUGCUCAUUAUUGAGAAUAGGCCUCUCCUCACACCGUACCAGUUCAUCGAUAUGCUUCAUGCAGUUUCAUCUUCCCGUAUGAAUCCUACUUCUUGAGUGUAUAGAUGCAUUUCAAAAUUCAAUCUAUUCCCACGUCACUCUUCUCAUAACAUAUCCUGUUCUCCUAACUUUUAUCCCGGAUUCACCGGUUGAUUUAAGACGGGGUUCUAUGCUUUCUAGCCCCAUUUGACAAAAGUGAGCUUCCCCUAUCUCUUUUGUAGGAAUCAGAUAGCAAUGCUCAUUCAUAAAUAGCUUCCGCAACUUCGUCGGAGAGAUCAAUGGAAACUCAUAAAAGCGGACGGCAUUGUUCAUACGAUCGCCGGAAAAGUCAGUUCUCACGCCGGCUAUUCAAAAAAUAAAGAAAGACUCUUUCAUAAACUUCAUUUUUUCGAGUAUAAUAGCUCUUAUACGCUUGUACAGAGGAGUCUACAACAAUGUCCAUAUAUAGGUGCUUUGUAUCCUACAAAAACAUUAACAUCCUAAGCACCGUAAGCUUGCUUUCUCUCCCGCUGACAGACAAAGAAAAGAUUGAUUUAGACUAGUCUAUGGUAGGCCUACGCUAGGCUUUUGUAUAUAUUUAUUGUAUGAUCGCUUAGCUCUCUCUACUCUUUGCUUAAGCUAUCGUGUCGUGUAGAUGGAUGACAUCUCCCUAUUCCCACAUCCCCGGAUAUGAUUAAUGCAUGGAAACUAAUUAAGCUUCUUCGGCCCAAGAUGCAAUCAUUUGGACUCCAUCCGAAUAUGGGAGUUUCACUCUUAUACGGCUUGGCUCUGGAAAAUUUUCUUGGGCAAAAAAAACAUAAAAAAAAAAAGAAGAGCUUCUUGUUUCCAAGCGGAACUCGAAUGGGCUGCUAGCAGAUUUGUUGGAGAUGGCAAGUUAACACCGUGGGGCCUUUCACUCGCUCUGGCACAUUUUGGCGGAACGUAAACGUUAUAGUAGAAUCUUUGAGGUAAAUGAUGUUUAAAAAAAGAAAAAUGGAAAAGAGGAUUUGCGAAGAUAUGCAGAUUAGAAGCUAGUAUCUCCAGCUUUAUGAGAAAGAAGACGAAGAAUCGGCGAGCAUCCUAGCCAAAUGGGACUUGUGUCUCAAUCCGAUCAAAAAGAAACAUAUUGUGUGUUGACCACCGGGAAAGGAAUGGAUUAAGAUUAAGACGGACGGUUCAAUUAGCGAGCAUGGGAAGGCUUGUGGAGGUUUAGCAAGAGACGACAAAGGGGAUAUAUGCGCUCUCUCAAGCAGUUAAGAACAAGACCAUACUCGAAGUCGAGCUCUUUUGCAUCUUCCAAGGUAUGAAAAUAGCAGCUGAAAAGGAGUGUCAGAGGAUUUGGAUUGAUUCGGAUUCCCUAACGUAAGACAUGGUCUACUCUCAAGAUCCAAAAGUCCGCAGCUAAGGAAAGCCUCUUCUUCAUAAGAUCAAGAAGGUACUCGCUAGUUUCGAAGAUUUGAAAAUCUCCCAUACUUGGAGAGAAGCAAACCAACCGGCCGAUUUUAUGGCAAGCUUUGACUAUGCGGUUGGUAGUAGACAUAUUUGGUCUUCACAUUUUCCCUUCCAUUUUGUAAAGUUAAUUGAAGAGGAUAGAUCCGGGAAAUUGUAAAUACGAAUGUCAAUCUUCAUAUUGAUAAACUAUAUACAUUGGUAGGGGUCGAUCAGGCUAAUCCCAAAGCUUACCCCCGAACAGCUGCCGGACUGCUCUACUGACCUUCUCUCUCUUCGAACUCACUGAACCUUCUCAAAGACUCCUUUUGCACUGAUAACACAAUUCAUCACCGUCCUUCUCACAAGAAGGCAAACCUGGUACGUUGAUCGAAUCUUCUUUCGCAUCCAGAAGAGAGGCAGUGGGCUAUCCGAGAGAGUGGUUCAGGUGACUACCGGAGUCAUUGAUUAAGCAGGUCAGAUGGGCUUAGUAGGGCUCGAACCUACAAUAUCACCGUUAUGAGCGGUACGUUUCAACCAAUUAAACUAUAAGCCCCUACGGAUCUCUACAUGCAAUUCCUUCGGGAAGAGCGGACAGAA